rnacentral:rRNA from 1 species
CCUACGGGUGGCAGCAGUGGGGAAUAUUGCACAAUGGGGGCAACCCUGAUGCAGCAACGCCGCGUGAGUGAAGAAGUCUUUCGGUAUGUAAAGCUCUAUUAGCAGGGAAGAUAAUGACGGUCCCUGACUAAGACGCCCCGGCUAACUCCGUGCCACCAGCCGCGGUUAUACGUCGGGGGCAAGCGUUAUCCGGAUUUAAUGGGUGUAAAGGGAGCGUAGGUGGGAAGGCAAGUCAGAUGUGAAAACCCGGGGCUCAACCCCGGGAGUGCAGUUGAAACUGUCCAGCUGGAGUGCAGGAGAGGUAAGCGGAAUUCCUAGUGUAGCGGUGAAAUGCAUAGAUAUUAGGAGGAACACCAGUUGCGAAGGCGGCUUACUGGACUGUAACUGACACUGAGGCUCGAAAGCGUGGGGAGCAAACAGGAUUAGAUACCCCAGUAGUC